rnacentral:lncRNA from 1 species
AUGCCAGACACCCCUCGCCGAGGGGAACCACCGGGGAAGGGGGCACGUCCCUGCCUCACUGUUAACCCCGCGGGCGAUGGCUGCAGCGGCCUGCUGCAGGGACAAACAGGACAAUCAGUCCCGGGACAAACAGGCGGCAGCGGCACGACCAGCGCGGUGGCCUGCACACAGCGGCCGUGCCCGUGCUGUGCAGAGCGGCCUGAAGCAUCCCCACGCACGGCAGCGGCCCCGCUGGGACACACCGGCUGCAGGGGACGCCCCCGGCCAGGAACGCAUGGCCCGAGCCCCGCGCGGAGCAGCCUCAGCAGCCGGCACCGUACGGGGGCCGGUGGGGGAAGGCUGGCGGAGCUCCCAAGGCGACCCGAGGCCCCCGGCGCGGGGCCCCGACCGCCCCGGUCUCAACCCUCCCUCGGGAGCUCCGGGGCCGCUGCCUGCGGGGAGCGGAGGGGGAAGGAGCCGGGAGCUGCGGGAUGCCGGGCAGGACGCGCGGCGCCGGGGCACCGCCCGCCAACCCGCCCCUUCGGGCGGAGCCGGACGAAGAACGGAGCAGGCUACGACCGCGGAACGGGCGUUUAUUGGGGAGCGGCGGGGCCGCGGCAGCUACACCUUGGUGCCCCCCGAAGGCACCUCGGAGCGCUGAGUCUGGCCGCUGAGCGUGGAGGAGGCGGCGGCGGCGGCGGGCGGGCGGCGCGCCCCGCGCAGCCCCAGCAGCAGGCGGCACUGGGCGCGGAACCGCCCGUCGAUGAAGGCGUAGAGCAGCGGGUUGAGGCAGCUGUUGAGUGUUGUGUGACAGUUGUCGGGCCCUCAUUCCCAGAUGAUAAGGAGAGUGGCUACUUCCUGCAAAACAGACUGCAUGCAUAGUGUCCGGGAGGAGAACGUGCCUGUACUGGAGCAAGUGAAGGAGCUCUUAGCACGGGUUGUUUCAGGUGAGGGGGAAGGAUGGGAUGACACUAUGGCUGAGUGGGACUUUGUUAUUCUUGAAGUCAUGGCUUGGCUAGCUGGAUGUGUUGGAUCAGUCCCUGUCAGCAACAUUCAGUGGCAGCAGAGCCCCUUUGUCAGGUGUUUACACAUUCCCCAGUAGGACUGGGCCUGCUGCACCCAUGGAGCAUCCUCAUACCCCCCAGCUGGGCUCAGGGUUGGGAACAGGCAGGAUUGUAGGCAGGAUUGUAGGCAGGAGCCCUGGAGCCAGCAGCAUCUGCAAAGUCUCCGGAAGCAAAAUUCUCUGUCCGCUGGGCUGGUUUCCUGCUGAUCCCAGUCUCUGUAUUUCGUGUCUGUUUUUUUUCUUUUUUCCUUUUCUCAGACAUGCCAUAAAGACGUCCUUGUUCGAGGAGAGCCUUGCAGAAGACACUUCCUCUGUGUUGGUCCUGAGGGUGGCAUGUGGCCAGCUGCAGCUCUGCCAGGAGCAGGGAGGGAGCGCUAGGCUGUGGUGGGCUGUUUGCUUGCAGCAGAGGUUUUUCCCCUCACUGGGAUAGAGGACGUUCCUGUUCCCUGGCUGUUUGUUACUGCAGCAUAUCAAAGCAAGUUCAGCAUGUGGAGUCUGAUGCUUCACUGGCCAGUGGUUUUUGACAGGGUGAGACUCUGCAGCUAGGUCAGCCAAAGCUUCUCCUGAGUCACCACUGUACAUCUCCACUGUUUCUUCCACUGCAACAGGGCUCCUUGUAGGGGCUGCAUCCCUCAGAGUGGCCGAGGCCUGUGGCCACAGUGGGAAGUGAACAAACUGAACUCUGAAUCAAGAUCAGUAAGUACCUGGGAGCCAGGAAUCAUGUCUCCCAGGGCGGCAGGGCCUUUCUCUGUCUCCCCCAUUCUCUGACCAACACCAUAAAGCCUUCCUUCCACCUCAGCUACCCUGCUGUGCUAAACCUGGCAUCCCAGGGGACUUCAGGGCAAGCAGGAAGGGUGCCCCACACCUGCUGCAGCUUGUAGUAAUGCAGUGUUGUCUGCGUUGGGACACGGCCAGGGAGAUGAAGAUGUUAGAUGAAGACAUUCUUCACUGAGAGGAUGGUUGGGCAACAGCACAGACUCCCCAGGGCAGCAGUCACAGCCCUGAGCCGGCCGGGGUUCAAGAAGCAUUUGGACAACACUGUCAGAUACACAGUCUGAUUGUUGGGUGGUCCUGUGUGGAGCCAGGAGUUGGACUUGAUGAUCCCCUGUGGGUCCCUUCCAACUUGGGAUGUUCCAUGAGUCUUUGAUUCUAUGGUUCUAUGCCUUGGUGCCAGCGAGGAAGUCGUGGGGCUGUGCUGCACGUGCAGCCAGGAAAGCCUCCCUGAGCUCACCUGGCUAUGGGGUGAUGAGAUGUAUCCUAGGUGAAGAUGGAAAUGUCUUUGGUCACCACCUGGAUCUGUGCUGGGAACAGGGAAGGUUGUUCUCUGAGGAGGGGUUGUUUCACACCACUGCAGCCCCCCUGCCUAGGACAGUGCUGCUUUGUGUCCAGGCCCCGAUGCUCUCUCUUGCCCAUGAGAAGUAGGCGGGUGCUGGGUUCCCAUUCCUCCCAUGGCUGUGGGGUCAGGAGCAGGCUGUCUCCCAGCAGAGCUGCACUGUGCUCCUCUCAGAGGUGUGGGGCAUCUGGCUUCUCAGUUGUGGCAAAACGAUGCCCUGGACACCAUCCCCCUCCUCAGCUGGGUGCAGGUGAGGUCCCAGAGCUGGGAUCUGAGGCACACCAUGGGGCCAGGCUGGGCUAUGGGGCUUCCCCUCACCUGGAGGAGUGGGGCAGGGCCCAUCCCUCCUGCAGCAGCUGGGAGCCAGGGCUUGUUGGGGCAGCAGGGCUCUGCCUGCAGCAGUGCUGUGUGGUGCUGCGCAUGGUGUCAGGAACUGGUGUCAGGAACUUGGAGCAGUUUUUCUGAGAGUGGUGAAAUGCUUGGGAUAAACCUGUAGUGGGAGCUUUUACAAAAGUCCCAGACUGAACUUCAGCUGAGUUCUGAACAGAAAAAGAUAUCCUGCUUUUCUUUCUCUUCCAUUGUCCACUCUGUGAGAUAGCUGAAAUACUGUGAGGAAGUUUAUUAGGCUGCUUUCAGAGCAGCCAGUCUGUGAGGGCCACAACAUCUCAUGACUUUCCUUCUGACCCCAGGCAGUUGAAUGGGAUGUAGAGGCAGCCAGGUGGAGAGGACCACACUCAAACUUCAGCUCCACACUGUUGGGGUUCCUCCAGGACAAUCCCUUCCUGGCCACCCUCUCCUGGUUUUGGCUGGGGUAGAGUUAUUUUUUCUCCUAGUAGUUUGGAUGGUGCUGUGAUUUGGAUUGGGAAACCCUGGCCGGUGAGGAGGCCGGGGUUGCACAAGAAGCUGUGAGGGGAUGCAGCCAGAACAGCUGACCCCCAACUGCCCAAAGGGAUAUCACAUACCAUGUGAUGACACGUGGAACAAUAAAACUGGGGAGGGGGGCUGCUGCUCA